UCUUUUUUUUGUUUGUUAAGUUUUUAACUAUUGAAUGUGUUGUUUAUUGCCAAUCAUGUGCACCGCCAGAUCUACAAAUCUAGUUUUGAAAAUUUGAAAAAAAUAAAAAUACAAAAUAUACAUGAUUGCCUUUGAUUUGUUAAAAAAAAAUUGUAGGGGCAAAAUAGAUAGUUAGAGAGUAGAAGCACAAAAAUCUGAAUUUUAUUUGUUAAGAUAAUUUAACUAAUGACUUUGCGGAAAUAUGAGAUAAGAGUGCAGAUUCGAAAUAUCAUAUUCUACUUAUUUAUUUUUAAAUGGUAAAUUUUAGUCAUUAAAUUAUUUUUCAAAAUAAUACUAUUUUUUUUAAAUUACUUAAAAACAUUUCAUCUUUCUAUCUGCAUGUCUAUCUUUCCAUUAAAAAAUUUCUUGUUGUCAUUUUUUUAAAAAUUUUAAAUGUGUCGUUAAUGUUAUGGAGCUUGGAUGGAAGAGACAAAAGGAAUUGGCGAGGAAUAAUUUUGGAAUUUGCUAUCAAUCAUUAAUAAGUCAUUAGUGUCAAUCAAAGAAAAGAAAGAGAAAGAACUCAAUGUGUGACUAUAUGAUUUGUGCAAUUAUAUUCUUUAUCUAGACCAACUAUAUAUCUUUAAAAUGGAAAAGACACUCUAUUUGUGGCUAUCACUUUCUUUUAAUUUAUGAAACUAAAUUUUGGAGAAGGUCGAACUUAGGCGCUUGCCACCUAUGCCACAACAAUUUUGUUAAUAAAAUUUGUCAAACAUAAAUAUACGUUAUGUUCUUUUUGGAACAAUAGAAUGUCGAAACUUAAUGAAAAGAUAUUACAUAGAAAUCAAUUUAGAAGAAUAGACUCUAAUACAAUCAACUAAUAAAAAGGAGAGAUUUUAACAAAAACUUGCUUAUAAAACAUCAAAAUAGGAUUUAGAUCACAUUCCAUGUUGAGAAGUGUAUAUGUGAAAGAAUUUGACUCACGGUAAAUAUGAAAAAUCCACACCCUCCAAUCUAGCUUGACAAAUUAUUAAUUUUGUUGUGCCAACCACAUUCUAAUUAUACUAUCCUGUCCAUGAUGCAAAAUAUUUUGAACAACUUCUUUGGAAUCUAUAUAUAGCGCAAUAGCUCGAACUCAAACUCUUUUGUUAAUCUUAGUCCUUCUAGCACAUCCAAAAGUUCAACAAUAUAUAUGCACUACAAGAAUCUAAAUAUCUUACAAAACCUUCAAGUCACUCACCCGUACAACCUCUUAAAUAACCACCACAUUCAACUUUCAAGUUAUUCUUACUAGCUUUAUCCGUGUUCAAUCUCACCUAACCCAAAGGAGGAGGAGUCCACCUUAUUUUCUUAGCCUCUCAAAUCAACUUUAUUUUACUACCAUGUAGCUCCGCUACCCAAGAAAAUACUCAUGAGCAACUUUAGUAACAUGCCGCCAUAUAAUUCUAGGUCUCCAAAACAAUUUCAUCACGUCGUUCCUUAUUCUUCCAUAUCCAAAGUGCAGGGAAAGAGGUUGCUCAAAGUUUCAACCACGACGAAUCUCCACUAAUACCAAAAUCCAAACGCAAAUAAGUAUCCAACCACUACUUAAUAUUACUAGUGAAAAAAUAAUCUCUCAUAUUCAACUUAACCACAUUAGUCCAAAUAACAAAUGGUAAAUGACAAUCACAUAAGACAUGUAUAAUGGGUUCCACUUAUGUCCCAUAGUGACUACAAAAAGGUCCUCUUAAUUGCAUUUUAUUUUCUAUCUCAUUGGUCAUUAUCCUACCAUGAUACACAUACUAAAUAAAGGACCUUAUUCGUUCAGAUACUUUAAGCUUCCAUAUCGACCUCCAACUAUCCUCAAUAUUUUGCCUACCAAAAUUAGUCAUUAAUUUAUAACUUGAUGAAACAAUAUACUCAACUUUUUUAUCGUUUGGCCAACAACAAAUAUAUCUUAAACUAUUACCAUCAAGAGGGAGAAUAGCUAGAAUUUUAGUUACCAUAUUUUUGGGAAACAUAUGCUUUAAAAUAUCCAUAUUCUACUUAUCAUUUUGAUCUAAUAUGUCCUCUAAAUUGUGAUAAGAAGUUGUAUUAACACCAAUUGUAUUAAUAUUCAUCAACUUCAUACACGGUUCAACUCAACAAUGAGACCAAACAUCUGUAUUGGCAAUAUCUCUUAUAGAUAAAUAUGCAAAUUGAGCAAACUUAGGCCAUAAGUUACCAAGAUUCUUCCACAAACUUGAAUCAUUUGCCUUAAUAAUCACAUCCUUAUAAUCAACAUUGUUCUUCAUAUAUUCGCCCCACAUAAAUUCAAAACAAAGAGAUUGUUCAUUACCAUGAAUAGCCCAACUAAGCUUCAAAAGACAAAAAUUAUUCAUAACAUCCAAUCGUCUAAUACUUAACCCUCUUAAGAACUUUGGCAACAUCAUUACAUCUUACUUCACCGAAUGAACUCUUCUAUGCUCCUCGCUAUCACCCUAGAUAAAACAAAACUAUAACUUUUGAAUCUCAUGCAAACAAGCUGUAUAAAUGCUAGUAGUCAUCAUAAUAUAGGUUGGAAGAGCUUCAAUAACAACUUUAGAGAUAUUUACCCGACCUGCAAAAGAAAGAUGUCAAGUUUUUCAAAUGACAAACUUUGACUUAACUUGCUUUAGGAUAUAAUUAAAAUCAGAUCUUCUUGGUGCACUUCUAACGAGAGGGACACCCAACUAUUUUCCAAGUGAUUGUGUUUUACAGAAGCCAGACAUAACAUCCAAUUUACGACGAAUAGACACAUGAGUGUCUCUAUAAAAAAAAAUGCUUGUGUUUACCAAUAAUCACUUGCUAACCAAACAAAAGGAAACAUUGAUUAACAAUACCGAGCAUAUUGAAUUUAAACCCAUGUAGCUUGACAAAAAAAUAUAAGAUCAUCUACAAAUAUCAAGCGAGAUAUGAAAGGACAAUUUCUACCCGCCUUCAUAGUUUUCCAAAAGUGUUGCUCCACACAAUGAGAAAUAAGAUGAGACAAUUUAUCAAUGCAAGCAACUAAGAGGUACUAAGAAAUAGGGUCUCCUUGUCUGAUACCUAUUUCCAAGUUUGCAACCGUUUUAUCGGUUAGAACAAGAUUUGAUUCUGCAUCAGACCUUUAAUUUUAAUGAUAACAAUGCAUUGUUUCUUAGAGAAUAAUUUUGUACACUAAUGAUUCUCAUCUAGUGUGUAGUUUUUAAUAACAUGUUUUGACUCUGAAGUAAUGACAUGUGACAUUAUCAGAUUCUGGAAUCAACACACUCUGACUCCGAGAAGAUUCAAGUUCUUUACAAGAUGUUGUCAAGUUCUAUAAAGCUCUUAGACAACGGUUGUAAGGAACGUUCAUGUUAAAGCUUCUGAAUGUGACUAUGAUUGAAGAGCCUCCGAAGGUUUGUUUGUCUUAAAGAUUAUGUGCUCAAAUUUUGAAGAUUUUGAAGAACAAGAUCUGAAGACUCUGAAGACCAGGUUCUGAGGAACUCUGUCAAGACUUUGAAGACCAAAGUUCUGAAGAUUAUGUCAACUUGUCUCUUGAUCCUUCUAAGCAUGCUUCAACAUCAUUUCAUUAUAAGCCUAUGAAGAUUAGAAGAUAAGAUCAAAAGGUUUUGCGUCAGGAAAAUAGUACACAAUACAAGAUCGCCAUUUCCUCCACUACUAUGAUUUUUUGGGCUAAGGACAAUAUUAUUGUACCAUUUUGUCUCACAUGUGCAAACCGUAAUGAAAAGAGACAACUGCAAUUCAAUAUUUCAAUUCUACCCUCCAACGGUUCUUUUAUAUGCCUAUAUAAAGGAUACUUGAAGAUUGGAAGAAUCUGCUAAUUCACUGCACUCAUAACAACACUACUACACACGCUCUUGUUGAAAUCAUAUUAUUUCUGAGUAUAGUUUUUGUAAAUACACAAGAGUUUUUACUCGUUAUUGUGUGAGAAAUAUUUGUAUUAACUUGUUAUAUAUUAAUAUAAAUAUAUUAUUAAUAUUUAUAAAUUAUGAAUUUUUAAUAAAAAAUUAUAUUUAAACAUAAAUUCAUAGUAUUUUUUCAUGGAUUUCAGAUCAACUGUUUUUUUGUCAAUAAUAUAUAUAUAUAUUAUAUAUAUAUAUAUAUAUAUAUAUAAUUUUUUGUAGUAUACUAUAGUGUUUAUUAAUGUUAUGUAAAAAUAUAUAGUAUACUAAGGUAAGUAAGUAAUUAAUAUUCAUAAAUUAAUUAUAUAACAGAAAAUAAACUAAAUUUAUUAUAUAUCUUUUUGGUUAUCAAAAUCACUGAAUUUGUAGUGACGUGCAACAAUUGUGACCCAGAAACCGCAACAGUGAUUGUGAUGAUGAAACAAUAUAAAAUUCAAGGCGACCGUUCAAUAGUGUUCAUUUUGUAGUAAUGCGCAAGUCUGGCAUUAACAUCUCUCCUACCAUCAAUUUGGUUCAAUUCAUCUAAAAUAAUAUACACUAAUAAAUAGAAGUAUAAGAGGAUCAUAAUAUAGUAGUGAUAUCAAGAUGGAUUUCUACAAUGGAAACGUUGAUGAACGAUCUAUACGGUGGAAUCAGAAAAUUUUGUGUUGGAAGACUCAAAGAAUAUGAUUUGCUAACAAAAUCUCUUUAUGGACUAAAACAUGUGUCUCGUUAGUGAUACCACAAGUUUCAUGAAGUAACUCUCCUAUUUAGCUUUGAGGUGAAUCUUGUUGAAGAUUGUACGUAUUACAAAUUUAGUGGGAGGAAGUAUAUUUUCUUAGUCCUAUAUGUUAAUGACAUAUUGCUUACCUCCAAUGAUAUAGACAUGAUGUACGAAAUCAAGAAAUUUCUAUCAAGAACAUUCAAAAUAAAAGAUCUUGGUGAUACCUCUUUUGUAUUAGGAAUUCAAAUACAUCGAGACCGAUCUCGAGGUAUUCUCGGAUUAUCACAAAUGAUAUAUAUCGAAAAGCUACUUAAAAGGUUUGGCAUGCAAGAAUGUAAAUUAGGGGAUACUCCAAUGGCUAAGGAAGUCAAAUUCCGUCUCAGUUAGUGUCCAAAAGGAAACUUAGAAAUUCAAGAAAUGCAAAAGAUUCUUUAUGUGUCAGCUGUAGGGAGUCUGAUGUAUGAUUAAGUGUGUACGCGUCCGAAUAUUGUGUUCAUAGUUGGGAUGUUAGGCAGAUAUUUGAGCAAUUCAGGAAUGGAUCAUUAGAAAGCGGCCAAAAAUGUUAUGAGGUAUUUAAAGAGAACAAAAAACUAUAUGCUCACAUAUAUGAGGUCAUACCUCCUAGAGAUCACUAGACACUCUGGCUCAGAUUUUGCUAGAUGCUAAAAUAGUAAAAGAUCCACUUCAGGCUAUAUCUACAUGUUGGUUGGUGGUGCAAUUUCUUGGCGUAGUGCUAAGAAAAUCCUUACGGCUUCAUCCACCAUGGCAACAUAGUUUAUAACAUGUUAUGAGGCUCCCAACCAUGGGAUUUGGCUGAGGAAUCUUGUCAUUGGACUGCAAAUUAUGGAAGGAAUUGAAAGACCACUUAAGUUAUACUAUGACAACAAAUCAACCGUCAUGUAUUCUAACAAUAAUAGUAGCUCCACCAAGUCCAAACAUAUUGACAUCAAGUUUCUAAUUGUUAAAGAAUGGGUACAAAGUGAACAGAUUUCUAUAAAACAAUUGGGUACAAACUCCAUGAUAGUAGAUCCUCUUACAAAAGGUCUCCAUCCAAGGUCUUUCAUGAGCACAUUGCUCACAUAAGUGUUUUAUCGGUAGAGGAUGACACUGACGUCAGCGAAAAAGUUUGAAGAGUGUCGAAAAUACUUUUAAAAAAUGUCACCUUUCUUUUUUGGAUUCAAAAUCGAAAUAUGACAUUUUGGGGAGCAAUUUGUUACCUCAGAUUUUCGAGACAAGCAUUAAUUAUUAAAAAUGAGAUAAGUUUUACGUGAUAAUGAGUUUAUUGCUAAAAAUCAAAGUGGUCAGUUACGAUCAUGGAAAGCUUGACGAAUUUGAUUUAUCGAGAAACAUGUAUCAACUUUGGCCGUAUUGUAAUCAGUCAGAGACCAUGAAGUUUAUUAGUUUUAGGACUUAGUGAAAUUCAGAGUACCCAAAUAUUUUUUCUAAGCAGUCGAAUGAGGUGUAAGAGGAUAAGAUCAGACAACUAUUUGAGGACACAUGGGAGCCUGUCAAAGACGGAGGCUGCAUGUAAACGAAAAUGUGGUAUAUUUUGCUUUGUCGACCGUUGUAGACGGUUAACUUAGGACUAAUAUAUAAGUAAGCAUUCACUUAUAUUUUAGGAGUCCGCAAGUGGUAUGAUAGUACUUUGAGUGUAGAAAAGAAAGUCAAUUGGAAGACUUGGUGGAGAUUCUCUUGUUGGUCAAGUCUCUGCCUGAGGUAGAAGACACAUUUGUUUGGUGGAAAGGUUGUCAUAGUUUUUAAGUUAACGGUAGUUAUAAUUUCUUGUUAAAAUUAUACAAUGAGGAGAUUCAUCUGGAAGAAGUGAGAGAGGUCCCAAGCAAGGUUCAAUCUUUGAGCUGGAGGCUCUUGCUCAAUCGACUCCCAACUAAGAUUCAACUUGCAAGAAGAGAGGUUCUUGAAGAUAGUCACAACUUGGUGCACCCUUUAUGCUUAAUUAAAGAAUAAGAUGAAACUCAUAUUUUCAUGGGUUGCUUAGUAAAUAAGUUUGUUUAGAAGAAGGUUAACGACUAUAUCGAAAUUGCAAAAGUGAAAGAAGCAUAACAUUAUUUCUUCCCAUUUAGUCCAAUUUUGCUCAUUGAUCAAAAAAGAAUUUUUUAGAAAAAUUUAAUUGCUUAUUUUGGUCGGUUGUUUUGUUGGAUUCUUUGAUCUUGUAUAAAUAAUAUUUUAUUUAAAAGAGCUCUCUUGUAUGAGUGGACACUGGUAGGAGUAUCAAGCUUCUAUAAUAUGAAUGAUCUCAAGUCAAUUUCAAAAGUUCUCUUUGUUGGGUUAAAUGGUAUAUUAAUCUAAGUCCCACAUCGGGUAGUAGGAAGAAAAUAGAAAUUGAGUAUUAAUAUAAAUAGAGAUAGUUGAUUUUAGUUUUCUAUCAACAACAAAAUGUAGUCUUUCGGUGUGUAUUGAGGAUUUGGGUAGUUGUGUGUUUAUGGAGGGUUUUCUAUUCAAAAAUAGUCCGUUGAGAGGGUUUUUAUUUUUUCGUUCAAAAAAUAGUUUGUUGAGUAAAAAUUACAAGUUUAAUUUUUGCUUAUUUUUCUUUUUUGUGGGUAUAUUUUUGCAUGCGUAAAAAAAUUCUGAUCAAGGGAGGAAGAAGAUAAAAAAAAACUGAAGAGUAUAAAUAAAGAUAGUUUAUUUUAGUUUUCUACACAACAAUCAAAUGCAGUCUUUUAAGUGUAUUUGAAGAUUUUGGUAGUUGUGUGUUUAGAGAGGGUUUUUUAUUUUUCUUUUCAAAAAUUAUUUGUUAAGAGGGUUUUUUUAUUUUUUCUUUCAAAAAUAGUUUGUUGAGAGGGUUUGCAAUUUUCCAUCCCAAAAUUAUAGUUGAGAGAAGAUUUGCAAUUUUUUCGUCCAAAAAUUGUAAUGGAGAGAGGGCUUAUAAUUUUUCCGUUCAAAAAUUGUAAAUGAGAGAGGGUUUGUAAAUUUCUCCUUAAAAAUUGCAAUUGUAUGAGAGAGUUUAUAAUUUUGUCAUUGUAAAAAUUACAAGUUGAAUUAUGAUUUUAAGAGUUUUUGCUUUUUUUUGUCGGUAUGCUUUUGCGUGCGUAAUUAGGCGGAUUAGAAAUCCAAUUUGGGGAGUUGUUUAUCUUGCAAGUUUAUCUCCUAUCUUUCUAUUUCUAUUGUGGAUGUAUCUCUUAGGUGUUGUCCCUAAAAUAAGGGUUGAACACCCUUUAUACUCUUUUUUAGUAGAAAUCAAUAUCCUCAUCGCGCAACUGCAUAUAUUAAUCUCUCGAGCUGAAUAUUAAUCUCUCGAGUCGAGGAAGACCACAACAAACGAUAAAACUCUCCCUCAAGAGAUUUAACAUUGUUGCGUGUCCAAUGUGUCCAAUGUUGAGUUUGAACCAAAAAUCUCUUGUUUAACUAAAAGAGACCAUUAUCAUGUCAUUCAAAUUCUCUUGCAUACCCUUUUAUUCCUUUUAAUUCAAUUCUCCUUCGCUUAUAAAAAACACUUUCUCUUUCUCUUGAAUAAUUUACCCUAAUAUAUUGCCCACACUUCAUAUUUAUUUUCUCAUUCUUUGUGUGAAUAAUGACUAAGUUGGUCAUAUAUAUAUAUUUCCCGACAACAAUGUAUAAUUCAUUCAUUAAAAGACAAAAGGUUAGUACAAAUGAUAUAAGCUAAAGAUUCAUAGACCUUUCCUACUAGACUAUGCGCAGCCUAUUUUACAAAGACUAUGACAACAAUAUUCAGACACAAUGCAACUAAGUUAGAUUCAAUUAUUGCGAGAAUUACUUGUCAAAUUGAUUAACUCCCCUGUAAAAUGUGAGACAGCAACAGCUAUGACACUUGUCAAGUCUCAAAACUCUUCUGAAUUUUUACAAAUAUCCUUUAGAUUUUAGGAUCUGGAUCUUGUUUUUGAAUCCCGACGUUGUGUGAAUCACUAAUGAACAUUAAAAUAAACAUUCGGUUAAAUCAAAUUAUGAAUCAACAUUAGUGAAAAUACAUCUAUAUAAAUUUAAAACAUCAAUGAAUCUAACUGAUCGUUCAAAUCACAAUAACAUUAACAUUAACAUUAAUUCUAAACAAGUGAAAGUCUGCUGCUUGUAAUAAAUUGUAGUUAGAUAGGAGUUUAUUUUUAUUCACUACAACAAACAAGACCUUAGACAGCGCUUUUUUUAGCCUUAGACAGCGCUUUAAAGCGCUGUCUAAACCUCCGCUGUUAAAGGUUUAGACAGCGCUUUUUUAAAUCUUAAAAGCGCUGUCUAAGCCCCCCCCCUUAGACAGCGCUUUGGCCAAAAGCGCUUUAAGACCCUCUUAUUUUAAAUUUUUAGGUAUACCUUAGACAGCGCUUUUGAAAAGCGCUGUCUAAGCCCCACCCCCUUAGACAGCGCUUUGGCCAAAAGCGCUUUCUAAGACCCUCCUAUUUAAUUUUUUUAGGUAUACCUUAGACAACGCUUUUCAAAAGCGCUGUCUAAGCCCCCCCCUUAGACAGCGCUUUUGCCUAAAGCGCUUUCUAAUCCCCCUUAGACAGCGCUUUUACAAAAGCGCUGUCUAAGGUAUACGAAAAUUUUUGAAGCUUUUGUUUUAAACCGCAUUUUUUCCAGGUUUAUAACCAGAAUUUCUACCUGUUUCAACCAGAUUUUGACAGACAAUUAUCACAUUUUAUAUAUGCCAUUUUGACCUUUUUUCUACCAAUUUUGGCUAACAAAUAUAUAUAUAUAUACCAAUUCAAACCAAUACAAAAUUACUAAUAUAUUAAAACUACAAAAAUAACUCUAAUCAAAACUACUAAAGUUACAGUAACUAGAUGCACUGUGGUUGCCUCGUUUAUAUCAUUUAAUUCUACCAUCGCAUGCAUGCAUGUCGCAUCCUGCGAAAAAUCAACCGGCGAGCUAAAAUAAAAACACACAGAGCCGCCACUGCGCGGUUAUUUAUCCCUGGAUAGGGAAAGGAAACGCUCAGAGAAACCUGGAAAGAACAUGGUCUCGCGACCAAAGAGAAAGGGUAAGGGAGUCGGUUACGCAAGGGGAAGGUAUUAGCACCCUCACGUCCGUCGUACUCGACGGGAUCCACGUCCUAGAAUAAAGAAUAGGUGCAAACAUCACACACACACACGGGGAACGCAGGUGGGUUUAGGAGAAGGGAGCUCGAUAAGGUAUCGCACCUUAUGCCUACAUAUCUUGUCUGGAACAAGAAUCAGAGCCACUGUAGUUCGGCUUACGCACGCCAAACAACACAAAACACACAAACAGACAAGGGGGCAAACAUGGAGCCCGACAACCACUGGAUGGAAUUACGUCAGCAUCCGAACCAAAACGCACUCAAAAGGGCAAACGUGGAGCCCGACUGCCAAUCACUGGCUUACGUCGGCAUCCGAACCAAAACACACAAUCAGAUAACAAGUAAACGCACGCAAAAGAAAAGGUUGCCCGGAGAGGUCUCGCACGACCCCCUGCCCUACAUACCUCGUCUGGAACGAGGAUCAGGGCGAUGUAGUUCCCCUGAAAGGGAAAAAGAUUUCAGCCAAAAACCGGGGGAAGACGCACUACCAGGGAGCUGGACUCGAGCCUAGUGUUGUCAUGCAUCGUUACCUAAGUUCAGUUUUCUAUCCUACUUACAUAAGCAAACUAUUCCUAUCCAGGAAAGAAGCAAGCACACAAGCAUACAAAAUAAUUCAAGCAUACAUCAAAUGAGAACAAGCAUCUCAAACAAGCAUGUCAAUCAGAUAUCCACAUAGCACGCACUAUAAACCAAACAAGUGGCUCACACAAUAGGUUGACUGCCUCAGCAAGUCGUCUGUACGGGCUGUGUGUGCUCUUAACCUUGCAUUACGAGGCUAAGGUGAACAGAUGAAAGGAUGAAGUGAGGAUCAGACCUCACAGCUCUUAUCCCUAACCAGGGAGAGCUUCUGACAAAUGAGCAUGGGUCCAGAAUGGGGGAACCCUUCUAUACCAGAGACUCUGGCACAAUGUGCACUGCACGGAUCUUGGGCUUGUAAUCUCAAUGCUACAACCAUGUAAUGGGAGCAGGAGAAGACUCACAGAAUAGUGGGGGAUAGAUUGCUUAUCCUAACUUCCACCAAUUCCUUAUUUAAAGGACUUUCACCUGCUUGGCACGAAAUAAAACAACCACAAUCAUUGCCUCUUAAGGAGGACUUCAGACAGUUUGCCCGUCAAAUAACAGACCGGGUCUCCAGACUACAGAAGUCAAGAGGACCUACCUCAAGCGCGUUUACCCAACCAGCAGCAGCUACCAAGCAAGUUCUUAAAAGAACUAGAAGCGGCUAAAGGUACCUGUACAAAAAGCUAACCAAUUAGCAACUCAGACAAACAGUCAGAAAACAACAAGUGUUCAACCAAUCAGACUAUACAAACUAAUGCACAACAAAGCAAGCUCAAAAACUCAAGCCCAAGCUUCACAACCUACAAAACAAAGUUAUGUUUAGUGUACAAACAUCAAACAACAUCAAUUGCAUUUAACUUGAUUCAUUCUCCAUGUGCAUUGGCUAUUCAUCCUGAAAAAUCAAGCAAACAUUAGCAACAGACCACUAGGCCAAGCUAGGGUCCAAAGGCAAGAAAAAUUCCUAAACAGCAAGGUAUCUCUAACCAAACUCAAAUUAUGUCAAACAAAAGCCAACACAAUUAAUCCCAUGGCCUAUCAUUCAUCAUGUUCAUUUUAUGCACAAAACAAAUCAAACUAGUUCAAAUGGAACACAAAACAUCCAAACAGAAACUAUUGCAUUCAAAUCCAUAUCAAAACAAAUCAAAAAAAUCUCCAAUAAAUUACACCUAAACAGGGUCUAUUCAAGGUAUGGCACACCAAAUUUCAGCUUAAUUGGGCAAAGGAACACCAUUGUCAAUGAAAAUCAACAAAAACGACACAAUUAUAUGCUCCAAAUCACAACAUCAACACAUGCUUCCAUUUCAAAAUUCAUAACUCAAUGAAAACAGUAAAGAAAAGGAUGGGACCAAAGCAGGAUGUCACAUCAUGUGUCUACAACUAUCAUACCAAAUUCAUAAAGCAUUCAACCACCAUAUGAGCAUGUUUCCACAAGGAUAUUUCAAACACAUGUCACACAAGCUGCACAUUGACCAACAGAGAUGAAAAAUAGCAAUCCAAAUUGAAAAUGCCACAUCUCUNNNNNNNNNNNNNNNNNNNNNNNNNCAGUAACUAUUUGCCAUUCAAAUCCAUAUCAAAACAAAUCCAAAAAAAUCUCAAAAAAAUUACACCUAAACGGGGUCUAUUCAAGGUAUGCACACCAAAUUUCAGCUUAAUUGGGCAAAGGAAACCAUGUCAAUGAAAAUCAACAAAAACAGACACAAUUAUAUGCUCCAAAUCACAACAUCAACACAUGCUUCCAUUUCAAAAAUUCAUAACUCAAUGAAAACAGUAAAGAAAUGGAUGGGACCAAAGCAGUGAUGUCACAUCAUGUGUCUACAACUAUCAUACCAAAUUUCAAAAGCAUUCAACACCAUAUGAGCAUUCAAAGGAUAUUUCAAACACAUGUCACACAAGCUUGCACAUUUGACCAACAGAGAUGAAAAAUAGCAAUCAAAUUGAAAAUGCCACAUAAAAUUCCACAAAAAUUCACAUAGCAUCUUAACAUGUUAAUGAACAUCCAUGCAAAAUUCACAUCAUUUCACCAAGUAUAGGUCACUCAAAUAAAUCCAGCAAGUUGACAUAAUGAGGUGUGACCACAGUUGUCACACCUAAGUUCCAAAAUUCAUAACUCAAUGACCAGGUAUCAAAAUUCAUGAAAUUACAUGGAAAAAGCCUCAACCAGUCCACAUUUACCACAAAAAAAUUUUCAGAAUUUAUUGUAGCUGAGAAUUUCACAUUUGGAUUUGGCACAAUAUCCAAAAUGUGCAAUGUUAAAGAAACCCAGGUCAAACAUAAUGUUCUACCAGCACAACUUAACCAAUAGGUCAAAAAAAUCGUAGAGUCAAAAAGGAAGUCAAAAGAAAAAAUGGCCUAUGAUUUUAUGAAUUUUCUAUGAAUUUUUGGUGAAUUUUCUAAGUCAGGGUGAUUUUUUAACAAUUGAGAUUAAUUAGAAAUUGGAAUUUACAAUGGCAGAGUGGUAAUACAGUGCGCGGGGGAGGGAAACCCUAAUCAAAAAUUUCCCCAAACCAGAUUUGGGAUCAAACAUCACUCUCCUUGUCAAUAAUUUUGUCCAGAAAUUACUAAGAACCGCAUGAACACGCGAAAUCCAAACGACACGCAAAAAUGAGCAUGCGAAUAACCGAUAGGACCGUGGCUGAACAUGUAGAAGCUAAUAGAGCUUAUUAAGCCUAACCUGUUCCUCUAUUUUUCUCCAAUCGAUCGGACCUAGGCGUUGUUGUCCUUAGAAACUGCAAAUCAGGAUAACUUCCCUCAGGUUAUCAUUUCACAAACCAAUCAUACCACCAUAUCUACAGUCCACGAAACUGAUAAACCGGCAUGGAUAAUUAAAGAAACGGUAAAACUGCGAAUUCUGACCUUGAUCUUUGAAAGACAUGUGUUGAUUUUGAGUUUCAGUCGUUUUGAUCCAAAACAGCAGCAGGACAGCUCCAGGGAAGUGAAUGCUAGCCUCAGGGCUGAAUCGAUGUUCUAUCCUCCUAGCGCGCAAACUGAUUCACCAUUGAUGAUGCAAUUGUUGGAACAGUGUACGGAUUUACCACGGUCCGUUUCCGUUCCAAUCUCACCCAUCAAAAAGAUUGAGAUGAUCUGAUGAGAGGAGUUCAAAUUAAAAAGAAAUCGCAGAUGUGACAAGGAUUUGGAGGAAGAGUGGUAGUUUUAGGGUUUGGGUGUUAUUGAGGAAUUUUGAUGAGAAUAGAAGCGUUGUCAGAUCUGGGUUUUGGAAUGGGGUAAUUCUGUGAAUUAGAUGAUGAAUUAGGAAUAGAUAUCCCUUGCUUAAUCCCAGCUUAAUUACACCAGUAACCAAAUGGAAAUUGAUGAGUGACAAUGGUUUCAAUUUCUCAAAGCAAAGGUGCAAAAGUGUAACAUGCAUAUGCCAGCUCAUUGCCCCGUAUGGACAGCGCACACACUCUCAAAAUGGACAGUGUGAGCUGUGGCAAACUUGUUUCACUACCUCCAUUUGGGAUGAGUAUUGUUUGGGAAAAUUUCACUAUUGUGAUGGUCACUUUGUCCAUUUUUGCAUUUCAUUUUAAGUCCAAUUGCCAAACCACAAGGCCUAGGCAGGUUAAGGAUGAAGUUCCAACAAAAGUUCACAAUACAUUUAUGAGGUGUGUGCAAAAAAUCCCACUCAAAAAGUCUCAAUUAUUUCACAAGUUGGACAAUUGGGCCCCUGGUCAUUAACUGGUUACAGUGAAAUUUGACAUUUUUGCAUGUGACCAUUUUUGCGACAAACCAAUUCACCUGCACCAUGAACAGUACCAAAUGGGUCUAAAUGAGUCGUGCUGGCAUAUAAAGUAACCCCAUGAAUGCAAACCUAAGGACCAAACACAUGGUGGAGAGUUAAUGGGGGACACCGGUACCUUGCAAUUGGGUCAUUUUUGAAUUGUUCACGAGCCAUAAUGAUCCAACCAUACAUGGGAUUUUCAAGUUCUUGGACUUUUUGGAAAGGUGAGAACAAGAUCUACAACUUUCAUGUUGAACAAUUUUCAUUUGAAGCUUCCUUAGACACGUGGCUUUGAGGUCCAAAACUUUCCAUUUUUUGGAAACUUCAAUUACAAGGCACUUUUCUAUUUUUGUGUAGUUCGUGUCCUGACUUGAUGUUCUUCAUUUUAAGCUUUGAGAUUCAUAUAACACUGUUCCAACAUGAAUGAAGUGUAUCCAACUCAUGUUCACCUCCAAAUCCAUCAAAUCAUGAACAGUUGACCACAGUUGACUUUUUCAUCUGAUAGAUGAAUUGGGCAUACAUAGAUCAAUCUGAGCCCCAAUCUUCAACUGAAAUGGCUCAAGGGUGAAACCCUAGCCUCAAUAAGCUCAAAAUAAUCAUAGAAUGAACCCCAUAACCAUCACAAACCCCAUCUCCUGAUCAUGCCCGGCUGGCCCACUGCCAACUGAUAGGGUUGACCAGUGGUCAAAACCCUAAUCUCAAGGGAUCUGCUUCAACACUUGAUUCUUCUGAUGAUAACCAACCAUGAUGAUGAUGAUGUAUCAUUGCAAUCAAGAUGAAGACCACCAUCCAUUGAGAAUCAUGAAACCCUAAUUUGUAGCCCAAUCCUCAGAUGGCCAAUGAUCAGUCAAUAAACCCUAGGCUUGCCUUGACUUCCUCAUCUUCUGAUAAGAUUGAGAGGAUAGCUUGCACAACGUAACCACAUGAUAUGCCAAUAUGAAAUUCCUAAUGACCUAAAAAUGUAUGCAAUAUGUUAAUACUAGUCCCAAGAGAGGAGGGCAAAUUUUGAGGUGUUACAAUGCAUAUCUAAACAAGGCAGGGGUUGCUAUCGUUCUGUAAUACUUUAUAAAUAAUUAAGAAACUGAAUUGUUUUUUUUUUUACUGGAUUGUUCUUCAGCAGGUGCUGUUAUGCAUAUAACUAACUGUCUACGUCAAUGACACAUCUCACACGAGCAUUCUAAAAGAUAUUAAAUUAUAUAUGAAGAUGAAUUCAAAACAGGUAACCAGGACAAUUCCUCUUUAUUAAUUCUCAAUGCAUACGAUAUGGUCAUCUAUUUCUUCCUCUGGUGGGGCAUCAGAUAUGUCUGCAAUCUUAUGAAUACAAAAAUCAAAAUCUGAGAACCUAAGCGCUUCUCAUUCAGAUAUUAAUUGUAUACUUGUUCCAUGAUUCCAUGAUGAUGAUGGUAAAGACGACUUUAAUCCAUAUAGACUCAAUAUAUCUCUUUCUAAUUUUGUAUUUUUGAGAAUCCUUUUUUGAUGGUUAUCAAUAUAAAAACUAUUAUGAAAAAAAUAGUUUUUCAUGUAGAAUAACAUGUGUGACUUCCGUCAAAUUCCACUAUUUUUAUGUUAAUGAUACCUUUACAAUACAUAUUUUCCUUUAGAAAUGUAUUUAUACCCUCUCGCAAUAACACAUUUUUCACUUUAAAUCACUUCAGAUGAGUUAUAUUUUAUCUAUUUAUUAUUGUGACACACCACAAAAAUUGUUAUAAGAAAAUUCCAAAACCUAUAAAAAACUAAUGGUACAUAAAUCGAUUAAAUGAAUGACUCUGUACCAAUUAUUAGGACAAGAUGGAGGAGAAAUUUCAAUUGCUAAAUCAUUUUCUUCGGGUUUCUACACUUGGCCACCCUUAUCAGCUUGCAAUUGACAAACUCAGCCAAUAUCUUGAUAUCUUCAUCUUCCAAACGAGCUCCAAUGUACACUGCCCUCGAGGCAUGCAUUCUUUUACCAAAUCCCUGCAUGAAAAUUGAAGCCCUAAACAUAAACUAUGAAGAAUGAAGAAUAAAUCAUAAAGAAAAAGCUAAUUUUCUAAAUUCUCAAGUCUAUACAAUUACAAUAUAUCUCAUCGCAUUCUUCCUUGCCAUAGUAUGUGACGCGGUAGAUUCUUCUUCUGUAUCAACUCCAUUUCUGUACAGCAACAUCAGAAGAAAGAAACAUUGAUUCACGCCUUCACUUUAGGGCAGAGAGCAAUUCACAAUGAGAGUUCUGAGGUUCUUUACCUUUGUAAAUCCUUGUGUGAUAGAUGUUGAUCCCUGUUAGAAAAUAAAAAUCAAUUUUGUGUUUGCUAGAACAUAAGAAAAGUUAUGUGAAGAGGAUGAUAUGCUUACUGGUUGUAUAAAUGUUUUCCACCUGCAUCGUGACAUCCAAUACAUGUUUGACGGAAACAAUGAGGCUCCUCUUAGGAUAUCUAGGGUUUGGGCACUUGAAACUGUAGAACAAGAAAAGUGAUUGGCAAUUUGGAUGGGAGCGAGUAGUGCAAUUUGAAUAGAGACGCAGGGGCAAUUUAGUAUUUUAGACAGGAGCAAACCUGGAGUGACGCAAAUUGGAGAAAAAAGCAAGAAUGCAGCAGCAAGAGAGGGAGCCAGGUGGUUGAAAAACUUGACUUGGUUUGUCUUUGUAGGAAUGGGCUUCAACUGGUUCUUCCUCUGUUGGGAGGGGCAUCAGAUAUGUCUGCAAUCUUAUGAAUAUCAAAAUCAAAAUCAAAAAGUUGAGUAUUGAAAAAUGUCCUACAUGCAUGUUUUAAAUUGCAGUUGUGGAAAUUGUAGUUUUAAUGUUGCUGAGACUUCAACAUCCGCAAUUAUAGUUGUGGAGUGCAAUUUAAACUAAGAUUUGUAUGCACAAGUCUGUAAAAGUUUUAGUUUGUAAAUUACUACACAUACCUAUAACCCCACUCAUUGUCAUACCACGAGACAACUUCACAAAGGACUUACUAAGCCCAAUCCCAGCCUUUGCAUCAAAGAUACUCGACCUGUUAAUAAGAAAUACAUUUAAAUUAAAACGCUUACUUGGCAAACAAACAUGAUCCUAACAACAACAGAAAAAAACUGCGACUAAUAUCAUAAAAGAGCGAGAUAAAUAAAGUUUAGUUUUAAGACAAAUAAAAAUCUGCUUUGAGCAUAUGUAAAUGAAAAUUCAAAAUGUGCAUAAUACCAGAUUUUAGCAUGUAUACUAGAUAAAAAGGCACAAGAGUGUCUGUCCUCUUAAAGAUGCUGAUAGUGAAUCUAAAUUUUGAAAUACAGCAACAUUUACUUACCUUGAAUCACCAACAAAGUCAUUAGAGAACAACUCUCAUCUGUGUAUCCAAGAAUUCCCUCAAUGUCCCUCUGAAGCGUGCCUUCAUUUUUUUUCAGUAGCAAGUAAUAGAAAACCAACGAAUGGUUAGUACAAAACAACUCGACAUGAGAGAAUAUAAGCCGGUCAGAAAAGUAAGAGACAUUACGUUAUUGCUGCUUUAACAUCUUCAUAGGAGGCAUUCUUUUGAAGCCGACAGGUAAGUCCACAACAGAAACAUUAGGAGUAGGAACACGAAAGGCCAUUCCAGUGAGUUUUCCAUUUUUAGCCGGAAGAACUUUUCCAACAGCCUGGAAUUUCACAAAGUGCAAAACUAAUUUAAUAAAUGUAAUUGGUAAGCACAGAAACUCUUAUGGCCAUCCAUCUCUUACCUUUGCAGCACCGGGAGAACUUGGAAUUAUAUUUGAGCUGCACCUCUUCCCCAUCAUUGAUUUCCUGCUGCAAAUCCUUCGGAUCCUUUCAUCAACAGUGCAUCCAACCGAGACACACGCAUAUUAGAUAAGUAAAUCCAUAAACAUUGUUUUUCAUUAACACAUAUCCAUGAAAAACAAUGUUUUAAUGGUGCAUGGAUCAUUUAUAAUUAACUAAUCCAUCCUAAAUGUUAUUACAUCAUAGCACCAUGCUACAUCCUAUCCAUCACAUGUUACAUGUUACAUGGUUUUGAUCAAAAGAUAAAAAAAGGGUUUCUCGCUUUGAAUGGCAGCCUUAACCUAAUGAUUCUUCCAUGCUCCACCUAUCCACUUGCCAUGCCAUGUUAAAUUCCCUUUGGGCCUGCCAAUAAACAUCAAGCAUUCAUCGAUACAUCAUAAUAGUCCCACCUCAAGCAACAACCAUAUCAUUCAACAAUUGCAGAGAAGCUCAACAUUCCAUUCAUCAACAGUGCAUCAACAUAACGAGCAAAUUAGAAAACAACAGUGCAAUAUCAAGAAUCAUUUGGCACAUGGAUAAACAAUAACAACAAUAAAUACAUCUGUUCAUAGAAGUAACAAUCAUUAAAAGAGCUAUCAUUCAACAUAAAAAAUACUAAACUAACAAGAACCCAUCCAAAGUUAACUAACAGUUUGUAACAGAAUAUAGCAGGCAACAUCAUAAUGUAAUUAACAUUUAACAACUCAUUUUCAAACUAACAGUAUAUGUAUCUUCGUUCACAUUUCACUUGAAUUUGAAUUUGAAUUUGAAUUUCGUGACUAACAAAACCAUUUCAUUCUAACUGAAAAUGGAAUUUCAUUUGAAUUCACGUAUCAUUUUCGUAACAGAUUCAAAGCCUUUAAAUUCAUCUCACACUUCACAUUUAAGGGGGUUCACGUUUUUCCAGAAAUACUCUCAACCUCUUUAUUUUUGUUUCCCUCUUAACUCACACACAACACUCCCUCUCCAAUUCAUUCACAGCGAAGAUUCAAUCCCUCACAGUUCUCUCCCAAACUCAUAGUUCUCUCUCAAUUCACCUCUAUCUCCUUCAGCAGAGCCUCUCAAUCCUCUCAAAGCAAACACAAGAGUUCAUAGUAGAAGAAGAGAUCAUAGUGAAAGAAGAAUAAGGAUAUUAAUUUAAUCUUGAAGAGAUGUUUUGGUAGAAGUUACCUGAAGUAACAUAGGGAGUUGAAUAUUCGAGCUUAUUGUCAAUCGCUUUGAAGAGACGUCAGAGCUACUCCGGCCAAUAAGCUCUUUUGCAUUUCUCCUUCAGUUCAUCUUCAACUUGUGCCAAGAUGUAGACCUUAGCCUAGGGAAUUGAUCCCUAAAUGAGGUUGGCAUCAACUUCCUUUCCCUUGCGUUUAAUUUCUGGAAGAUUGAUUUAGGGUUCUUGUGACAUUAGGCUCGAUUUGGUUGAUUGGUUAGGAAUUAGAUGAAAUUGAUGGUGAAGUCGGAUAGAGGACUUUGGAACAAGACAAAUGAUAUAGGUUUUAUAUUGUUUGGCUCUCCCGCCUCCGCCAUAGGCAAUUUCCGGUCUUUUUCGGGGAGAGACCGAGGGACCGAUCUUGGGAGCGAGGGAACUCGCCGCUCCGACUUCACCUCCGGUGACGCGGACGUAAACUUCGACGACUUGGGAUGGGUCGAGCUUGGGAGGCAUUGUGGAGAGUUUUAGGGGAAAUAGGGUUUCACACGGCGAAAUGAAGAAGCAGCCGCAACUAAAUGAAGAAAUGAACAGAUUUUUUUAAUUGAAAGACUUUAAACAGCGCUUUCUCAAAAGCGCUGACUAAGGUCUAUAUUUAAAAGCGCUUCUAAAAGCGCUCUCUAAGGGGGUCUUAGACAGCGCUUUCUAAAAGCGCUGUCUAAGACCCCCCCUUAGACAAGCGCUGGACAGCGCUUUCAUUAUUUUUUUAGAACAUUUUCCGUGUUUUAUUUUUAUUUUAACCUUAGACAGCGCUUUCUUUUAAAAGCGCUGUCUAAGAUGCGCUGUUAAAAAACCUUUUUGGCGUAGUGAUUGGAUACAAAUGAAACAAAUUGAUUUGUACAAAUUGCAGGGCAUUGUAGUAAGGGUGACAAAAAUGACCGUGAUUCGUAGAACUGACCCGAUAAUAUAAAUUGAUUUAUAGAAAUUGUAAGGUAUUGUAGUUGAGUUACAAUUUUGAGUCCAUCCACCCAUUUAAUAUGCCUUACCAAAGUGAAAAAAUCCGCGAACCGAAGACAUUAUGGGGUGGAUUGUUGAAAAAAAAUAUUUAAAAAAUAGCCAAUCUAAAAAAACAAAUGGUCCAAAACUUAAUACAUAUUAUGAUUUUUCUUCUUCUUAUAAAUACUUGUUUUUGGUUGUUUGAGGGUUAAUCCCAAUUAUUAAAAAUUCAAAAUAUUUAUUUUAGUUGGUUAAAUAUUAAUAUUUAAAUUAUAUUUUUGAAACUCGUAUUAAUGAUUUUAGACUUUUAAUUAUCAUUUUAAUUAAUUAUAGUAAUUUCAAUUCUUGAUGGUUUGGUUUUAUAUAUUUAUUUAUUUAUGAAUAUAUGCAAUAUUUUUUUAAAAGUAAAAUCAAUUAAAAAGAUAUUUUAUAGAAAAACAUUCUAAAAAAUAAAUGAAAAUUUUAAUUAUAAUUUUUUUAUUAAACUAUUAAAAAAUAAAAACAAAUGAAUAAAUAAAUAGGUGGACAAGUCCGUCAUCCGCUAAUCCGUCAUUUUGACAGGACAAACUAGAUUUUUAAGUCAAAUUAUGGAUUUUAAAUCCGAUUUUAUUUAACGAAUUUUGCAUAUUCUAUCCCUUUUUUGAUGGGUUCAAGGGUGGACGCGACGACAUGUUUUGUCACUCAAUUGUCCAUCAUGUUUAUAUCUCACAUCAAAAAUCAUGUGUUGAUUAAGUUCAAAUAUUUUAAUCAAAACUUAUAUUUUAUGUGAUUUAGACUAAUUCUAAUUUUAUAAUUAAAAAAUAUAAAAUAAUCCAUUAAUCUUUGUUCAGAUUAUAAAAUCUAAACAAGCUUUAUAUAAAGUAAUUUUAUAAUCCUAAAUAGUCAAACAUAAUAGAACACAUCAUAAAGAGUACAUAUACAUAAUAUGAAAAGAUCCUAAAAUAUAAAUAUAUAUAUAUAUAUAUAUAUAUAUAUAUAUAUAUAUAUAUAUAUAUAUAUAUAUAUAUAUAUAUAUAUAUAUAUAUAUAUAUAUAUAUAUAUAUAUAUAUAUAUAUANNNNNNNNNNNNNNNNNNNNNNNNNNNNNNNNNNNNNNNNNNNNNNNNNNNNNNNNNNNNNNNNNNNNNNNNNNNNNNNNNNNNNNNNNNNNNNNNNNNNNNNNNNNNNNNNNNNNNNNNNNNNNNNNNNNNNNNNNNNNNNNNNNNNNNNNNNNNNNNNNNNNNNNNNNNNNNNNNNNNNNNNNNNNNNNNNNNNNNNNNNNNNNNNNNNNNNNNNNNNNNNNNNNNNNNNNNNNNNNNNNNNNNNNNNNNNNNNNNNNNNNNNNNNNNNNNNNNNNNNNNNNNNNNNNNNNNNNNNNNNNNNNNNNNNNNNNNNNNNNNNNNNNNNNNNNNNNNNNNNNNNNNNNNNNNNNNNNNNNNNNNNNNNNNNNNNNNNNNNNNNNNNNNNNNNNNNNNNNNNNNNNNNNNNNNNNNNNNNNNNNNNNNNNNNNNNNNNNNNNNNNNNNNNNNNNNNNNNNNNNNNNNNNNNNNNNNNNNNNNNNNNNNNNNNNNNNNNNNNNNNNNNNNNNNNNNNNNNNNNNNNNNNNNNNNNNNNNNNNNNNNNNNNNNNNNNNNNNNNNNNNNNNNNNNNNNNNNNNNNNNNNNNNNNNNNNNNNNNNNNNNNNNNNNNNNNNNNNNNNNNNNNNNNNNNNNNNNNNNNNNNNNNNNNNNNNNNNNNNNNNNNNNNNNNNNNNNNNNNNNNNNNNNNNNNNNNNNNNNNNNNNNNNNNNNNNNNNNNNNNNNNNNNNNNNNNNNNNNNNNNNNNNNNNNNNNNNNNNNNNNNNNNNNNNNNNNNNNNNNNUAUAUAUAUAUAUAUAUAUAUAUAUAUAUAUAUAUAUAUAUAUAUAUAUAUAUAUAUAUAUAAUUGAAGUCAUCCACCGUAUUGAUAUUGUGUAAAUGUGGUAAGAUUGAGGUUUCUAGAGAGAUAUUUGAUCAGAUGCUGAUAAGAGUUUGGUUUCUUGGAAUGUUAUGAUUAUGGGUAUAUGAAUUAUUUCUCAUUAGGCAUGAAAGGAGUUUUUGAUAAGUUGGAAUUCAGUGGUAGCUGGAUAUAAGCUUAAUGUGUGUUUUUAUGAAGCUAUGAAGUUGUUUGAAGCAUUGUUGAAGAGGGGAUUGUGCCGAGCAAUGUUACUUUGCCGAGUUUCUGCUGUUUUGGGUUUGGCUGUUCUUGGUAAUGGAAGAUGGUUUGAUGGGUUUAUGGUUAAGAAUGAAAGAGGAGAUUGUGUGUUUUCAAGGCAGUAGUCAACAAGAAAUUGGUGCAUUGGACUGCUAUAAUUGUGGGCUUAGGAAUGCAUAGUUUGGCUAAUGAAGCUCUGGAGCUAUUUACAAAAUGUGCAGAAAUGGGAUGAAACCUCAUGCUAUAAUUUUCAAUGAUGAUAAAUGAGAAUAAAAUUGAGCCCACAGUUGAACACUCGGUUGCCAACCUUGAUUUGUCAAACAGAUGAUAGAAAGUUUGAAUUCUGCAUGAAACUGAGUUUCUGUCUAAGCAUAGUGCUAAAAGGAAGGGUGGUAUAGGUUAUGGGAAAUUAACACAGUCCAAUCAACAUGUUAAACUCAUGCACAAGAGUUUGAUAAAAACAUAUUUCUUUGGAUCCAUAUUUCUAACAUAUAAUCAGCCACAUACAGGUUCUUCUGCUAGAGUAAUUUACAUUGAUGAAAAUGGGAGUUAAACACAACAGAAAUGAAAAUGGGAGCAGAAGAUUGUAGCUGAAGAGACAACAUUCUCAUUGUCCGGGGACAAAGUUAGUAGCAAAAGCCCAUGCGUUGUUCGCGACAGGGUCAGCAACAUGGUCAUAAAGGUUCUGAAUAGGGCCCUUGCCAGUAACAAUGGCUUGAACAAAGAAACCAAACAUGGAGAACAUAGCCAGCCGACCAUUCUUGAGUUCCUUGACCUUCAACUCUGCAAAUGAAUCAG
rnacentral:lncRNA from 1 species